UACUUCAUUGAGGAUCAAAUAUCUUGAAAGUCAUAGGUCGUAUACUCAUACUUUUAAGUUCCACCCAAUAUUUGAUAUUUUCUGUACUGGAAACAUGUCCAUUCAGUUACUCUUGGUUGAAAUUUCUUGUUUUUUCAUGUUUCGUGGAUUUGGGGGAGGGUUCGAUGUUUGUGAACAGCAAAGUGAAUAGCCUAUUGUGCUGACCAGUAGGGUUAAAAUGCUCAAAUACUGCGCGUUAUUGGAGUCCUCUAGUAACUGGAUUGAGCUAGUUAUGAAUCAUUUCUACGAUGAAAUCCAAAGGAGGGUAAGUAGAAGAGAGAAAAAAGGAAAAAGGAUACAGAGGCAAAAAGUAGAAAUGAAGAUAUUCUUCACACGCAUUCAGUGUUAAGCUUAGACAUGCAGAUCGAUUUGAUUUCAGAUCUUCAACUGGUGAGGUUGCACAGGAAGCUAACCUGAAAAUGUCUGGGAUUUUAUCCCAAUUGCAGGAGCAAACGAUUGAUGAAAACCUGGUGCUUAAAAUGCUUGAAGACAACUUGAAGUUAAUCUGGGAUCACUGUUUGCAUGAUGGUUCUUCAAGCUGACCAUAUUUUAUGGUCCUUCACUUUCUCUUUGCAAAAUAUCUGCAGAAACUGCUAGACUCACAAGCUAUGUUCGGUUGGUGAAGAAAGUUACCUUUUGUAGUUUGCAGUGGUGGAAUAUAUAGAUGUAGAUAACUGAAUUUUUAAACUCAAAAUGUUGAAUGCUGUUUGCACUAUAUAGUUUUGUGUAUGGAAUGAAAUGAACCAAGGCCUCUAAUGUUAGUGGCAUCAGUAAGGAACACUAGAUAAGAUUGUAAAUAGUUCUGUUUUGUAAUGGAUCGAACUGCUGAGUUCA